rnacentral:rRNA from 1 species
AAUGAACGCUGGCGGCAUGCCUAACACAUGCAAGUCGAACGAAGGCUUCGGCCUUAGUGGCGCACGGGUGCGUAACGCGUGGGAAUCUGCCCAUGGGUUCGGAAGAACAGGUAGAAAUGACUGCUAAUACCGGAGGAUAUCGUAAGACCAAAGAUUUAGCGCCCAAGGAUGAGCCCGCGUAGGAUUAGCUAGUUGGUGGGGUAAAGGCCUACCAAGGCGACGAUCCUUAGCUGGUCUGAGAGGAUGAUCAGCCACACUGGGACUGAGACACGGCCCAGACUCCUACGGGAGGCAGCAGUGGGGAAUAUUGGACAGUGGGCGAAGGCCUGAUCCAGCAAUGCCGGGUGAGUGAUGAAGGCCUUAGGGUUGUAAAGCUCUUUUACCCGGGAUGAUAAUGACAGUACCGGGAGAAUAAGCUCCGGCUAACUUCGUG